GCUUCUUGAGAAAAGUAUUGGAUUUUCCCUUCACUGGAGGUCUAUGAGUAGAAAAUGGAAGAUACUUUCAGAAAUAUCAUAUGGGGGAUUCUUGGUCAAUAAUAGAUUAGAGAAUCAUCCUAUACAACAAAGACUAUUUUUAAAGACAAAGAUGUAGAAGAGAAAAAUAAAUCAAAAAAUCCAAUUGAUGUAUACAAUGUUCAAUAACAUUGGACCUCCCAUCUCUAUGAAAAGGACCUGGUAUGGAGCUUAAAGACAGACUGUUCCCGACAAUUGCCAUGUAUCCCAGAAGCUCACAUGACAUGAGGAAUGCACGAGAUUGGGUGGUCCCCCAAAUUUUGCUUGCAGAGGUAAGAUUAGUGACAAGAGCUGGAAUGGUGGCAUUAUUAAAUCAUAAACCACACUCAGGGAAGAAGCAUGCAUUAGUUUUCAUUUUGUAAGGCAAGCAGAAAAGAUAAAUUACCCCUGAACCCUAUGUUUCUAUUAAUAGAAAGAGGUCUACUAUUUCCACAAACCAAGAAGAAAAAAAUGGAAUGAAAAAAAAGAUAAAAAAGAAUGACUACCAAGAUUGGAUUGAUAAGGUGAAAAAUGAUGGCUAUGUAUAUCAAAUAGAUUGGUAAGGGAUGGACUCAUUAGCUGAACCUAAUAAAUUAUAAAAUGCCUUGGCUUGGGUAACAUUCACUGAAAUCUGUAUUAGGAAUUGUACUAUAAAGCUAGUGAACGGAUUCCGUUUAUUCAUAUAUUUUCAUACUAAUAGAGAACUGCUCAAAGAUGGAUGCAGAGUGAAGAUAUCUGUCCUAUCACAAUGUUUUUCAGCAUUCCUCUGGAAAUGGAAUAGUCUGUGAAAUUUAGAUAAAUCUUUACAAAGAUAUAACACUCUAAGGGGAAGUGCAAAUUUGUUUCCAUUUUGAACUGGAACAAGAAAUUGCCUUGCU